rnacentral:sRNA from 1 species
AUCCCCAACCCCCAACUCCUGCCUUUAAAAACAGGAGCCAAUCCUUCCCAAUAUCCAAUCCUACAAACUUGGUGGUGACUUGGGCAUCACUGAUGGAUAAUUAGGACCUAGAGUAUAAAAUGGCAGAUUGUAGCCGUUCAAAAUCCGGACUUUCUGUUUUAAUUGAGAAGAAUUAGCCUCGAAACAUUUUUUUCCUUGUCACAAUAGGUUUUCCAGUGUCUUGGCAAUAAGGAGUAGCAUUUUAAAUGACCUACAUUUGUGUAGGAAGCCACAUGGUCCAGCCCGGUAGGAUUAGUGAGGGGGGAAGAUAUUCUGGGGUGCUGACUACCCAUCAGGACAAGCAGGCUCCGACUUGGCUUCUCCAGCUCGCCAUCUGGCCAAUGCUGAUUCAUUAGGUAGGUGCCCUUCCUUCUGUUGGAAAGGACAUUUGUUCCCCAUAAUUUGCCACUUUUCCAAGUGGUUAAGGGAAAUUGGAUUUGUUGCAGCGUGCCAGAAGCGAGCAAGACUGGGAACGAGGGCAAGGAUGCCGCAAAAUGGAAAGUCCUCUGGAACCACUGGUGGUGACAUGAGAUGGCACAGCCACUUCAAGAAAGCCUGACAGCUCAUGGGAAGGCACUCUGUCCAGGAGAAUGGGUUAAGGACCUUGGAGCCAGAUGCCCUGAAUACGGCCCAGGCUCCAAUAGGUACUUCCUUGGCUUAACCCAUAAUGUCAAACACAAUCACACAGCACUGCAGCUCGCCCCAGCUCUACUCUCGAUUUGGAGGGUACGGUCAGAGAGGAUGAAGUCAUGGUGCCAGGAGCCUGAGGCAGCUGCUUGCAUUGUAUCCGCAGUGAGGAAGCCGAGAGAGAUGAACCCGAUGAGCAGGUAGCUUCCUCCUUUUCUUACAGUCUGAGACUGAGCCCACGGACACCUGCGUGCAAGAUGGGACUUCCCAGUUCAGUUAACCCAAGUUCUAAGCCAGGCUCUUGGAGAGCUAAAUCCAACGAGCGAGUGUUGGCAGAGCCAUGCUCCCUCUGGAGUGCCUCGAGGACAGUCUGCUUCUAUACCCUUCUCCAGUUCCUUGGGCUGUGUUCCUUGGCCUGUGGCCUUACCUCCACCUUCCAACCCGGCACUGUAGCACCUCCCUUAUUAAAAAGAAAUUAGUAAAAAUGUUAAAAACUAUUAUUUUUAUUUGACGUGUAUGGGUGUUUUUGUCUGCAUGUAUGUCUGUGCACCACAGCAUAUCCGGUGCACACAGAGACCAGAAGAGGAUGUGGGAUCUCCCAGGACUGGAGUUACCGAUGACAGUAAGCCGCCAUGUGGGUGCUGGGAAUUGAACCCAGAUCCUCUGAAAAGAGCAGUCAGUGCUCUUAACCACUGAGCCACAACCCCAGCUGUGGCAUCUUCCUUCUUUAGUCCUAGCCUCUUCUUUUCUAGUUGUGUCCAAUUUCCUUCUGUCUCAUAAGGACAGUAGUGCUCACACUGGCCUGCAGGGAUAACUCACCCGUUCCUUACUUGUGAGCUUCUACAAAGAUCCUCACUCUUUAUCGUGUACCAUGAACGGUCACUGAGACUAGGACCUCAUAUCUUUAGAAUCAUCAAUAAACUGCAGCCCAUCCUAGUACAGAAUGGAAAGCGAUGUCGUGUUUAUGGACCAUGUAAAUGAACAUUCUGCCUGGUGGUAAGAGCUCCAAUUAAUUCAGGAACACUUCGCAAUUACUACUGAAAGUAAACUAUUUUUACUCUCGGGUUCAACAAUUCCCUCUAAUUAGUGCUAAGAAUUCAUCAUAGGAUAUUUUUAAUUAAUUUUUUCCAUGUAAUAUAUUCUGAAUUCAGUUCUCACUGUGUUCUUGACAAUGGGCGUUCAAGGAUUAUUUGUUGAUGUCGUUUAUAGAAGCUACAUUUGCAAACAGCCCACACAGCCUGGCAAUGGGGACCGGGUGAGUGUGCAAAAGGGCUUCCACACCACGGGAUGCUGUAUCAAGCAGAGUGAGACAGUCCUUUGAAGAAAGUCUUCAAGAAUGUGUUCCCAUUGUGAGGACGAAUGAAGAGAGAAGACAGGAGAGGAGAGGACGAGAGAACCUAGAAAUACCCCGGAGGACACAGAAGGGAGAAAAUCCAUGGACCACUCUAUUCACUGCUCACAGGAAGGACACUCCUCCCUUCUCUGCUGCAGAGAGACAUGCUUGGAGGGAGAGUAGCUCAUUUGGGUUACCAGCACAAGGGAAGCACCUGAUGUGCUUUGGCCUUUGCAAGGACUCCUGAUCAGAACUUGCCUUGAUGAAGGAAUUCCUUCGUAUGUCCCACAUAUGCCCUUCAGUGCAAAGAGCAGAGCACUUGAAUGUAUAACAGCACCCUUUGUGCAAAAUGGCUCACAGCUGUCUGAGCUAUUCCCGUAAGACAAAAACAUGAAGUCCCACCCACUUUAUGGAAGAAACUCAACCAAAGGAUUGUCUGACUUGAGAUCUUAGGACACUGGACACUCCAUCAACAAUAACAACACCAGAAGAAGAGUAAACAUGUUUGGCACAGAACUUGGGCAGUCUACCCACCAUGUGGGUUCCAGGAAUUGAACUCAGGUUAUCAAUGCGAACCAGAAUUCCUGAAACAACUGAUUGAUUAGAACUGUAGUGAUUUGGAGAAAUUGGAGUGUUGUAAAUCCAGGGCCUAAUUACUCUUUAUCUUUAAUUUCGAAGCUAGCCUUUGCCCCCUAAAUGGCCAUUCCAUGCUGACCUCUGUUUGACCUAACAUCCUGUGGUUAAUGGAUUUCCAUUCACGGAAAAGUUAAGAGCAUCAUCAGAUGGCAGAGGAGACCCAUCUUUCUGUACCUUCUGAUGUUUCCAACAAUCAAUUGUUUAAAUAUCUUGACUUAUUCUUUGUUCUGUUACUACAAAACUCCACAAUUAAAGCAUUAUGCUCCACACUGAAACAUUAUAUUGAGGGUAAUCUAAAUGGUUUCUGGGCCGUGGACACUCAUGAUGUUUCCUGUAGAUAUACUGUGUUUCUUAUUCCUUUGAGAGAAGAGUUGUUUCUUUUGAUGACACAGUGCUUAGGUGCAGUUACUCUUAUCUACAGAGCCAUCUCCCCUGCCUGCAUGUGGCCUCUCUGAGACAACGGUUGACUAUUGGACCCUACUGGGGAGAGGUAUAUAGCAUUGUCAUUGAAUGGUGUACUUUGCCAAUAUCCCCUUUCAUGUUGCAUCAGAGAGAUCCUGUGUGCAGCAGUCUCCAUUGUGACAUGAGAAGGCUCUGGGAUCAAGCCAGCUGUUCUUAGGAAGUUCUGGAAGAGUGUUGGCAUGGCAGCGGCCCUUCUCUUUCAACAGCACAUUUGAUUAACUUAAACCCUGCCUGCCACACUGGAUAGCUGAAACCUGGUAUCCCAGUGACCUAAGACGGGUAAGAUAAUUUCUUGUCUUACCUGAGUAUUGGAAUCAUCCUCUCUUGCUAUUCAGUGUCCUUCAAACACUUAGGAAUGUAGCCAUGGACAGCCCAAGUCCCCCAUGUGACAAUUUUGCUCAAAGGUAGGUCAAGUGAAUAUGGUGAGCCUGGGUUAUAGGGUUACCAUGUUAUUUGGUUUUCUAAAUGGCUCAAGAGAAAUUAAAAACUUCAUGUCAAAGAGCUAAGUCCUCAACUGAAUGGGUAGGAUUAUGACAAAAUCUUAUAAAAUUAUUAUUAGAACUGUAUAAAUUAUUAAACUUAUGAAAAAGCCUCACAAAACAUUGGAGACUAUUCCUAAUGUUCAGGUUAAAAUGUCUGAGAGUAGAAGGAAGAGAAAAACAAUAUUCAAGAUGAUUUCUAUUCUAGCACCACCCAUCCCCAAAGGGGAAAGAAAGAAGGCCAUUAGGUUGUCAUGAAACUGGACUCUUGGGUUGCAAGGCCCUGACCAGGCAUAGUAACAGAAGUCAGCCUUGAGCCUUUUAACCACUGGAGGAUGGUUCAGUGGGGUCUCAAGUAGGAGCUCUGCUGGAGUUGAUGGCGUGAAGGAAAAGGAUUACCCAUCUCUUUUUGGAUUUUCCAAAGUCAGUACUAUGUAUUUGCUUGAGAUCAGGGAAGUGGUCCAAGGAUAUUUCUCCCUAAGGGAAACAAUGAGGGAGCUCUAACAAAUGGUGUCGUUAAGUUUACUGCAAAGCAUUUGACAAAAUUCGGCAUUCUUUCAAUGAAUGAAUGAUUAAUCAUUUUGAUUAAGGAAGAAUAUGCAUGCAGCAUGAGUCCCAGGAUGUGGACUGGUCUCCUGGGAGUGCCAGCAGAAAAGCUUCCCACUGUAGUAGAUCGAGAAGAGUGAACAAUUCACCAGGAGAGGAGAGAACCACUGUUGGGGUCUGUUUCUUUACCUGUAACAUGAACAACUUUCUCGUUAUGUUAGGCUAAGGGUAUAGUCCUAACAAGUUUGGUUCAGCCUUGCUCUGCAGUGGAAGUUUUUUUUUUUUUGGGGGGGGGGCGAAUAAUAGAAGUUGUAGUGUUAAAAUAAUAGCAAAUAGCUUUUAAUCCAACGUUCGUUUUUAAAAAACUGUCUUUGAAAUGGCAGUCACAGCAGAACCCACUUGUGAGAGAAGUACUUUUAGUGAUGCUCGACAGGUUCCCUGAACUCAGCCCAAGGCAGAGGAUUAUUCUUUUGCCUGAAGAGAGUGGGAACAAAAAGAGACAAGGGGAUGAUUUGCAAAUCUAAAUCUCUGUGACCCAUCUUCCAGGGAGAGGCACGAGUGUAAGCACAGAAGGGAUCUGAAGGAAUUCUGGGUUCUUCCCUCUUUGACAUUGUGUCUGGGAUUAAACCCCAUACCCUAAUGCAUGUUGGGCUGGGGCUCAAGAGUGUGGUAGGAUGGGAUGGUGUGUGAUGGGAGGGGACGGACAUUUGACUUGAGUGAUGGGUCCUUCAAUCCCAAAGGCCUUGAUUUUAAUUAUCAGCAUAUGUAGGCACACACAUGGAGCACAGAAAUUCAUGAAAGCCAUAGUGACUGGGACCUGAGAUUUUGGGUGGAAAGUUUUACAUUCAAAACAUUCAAAACCAGACAUGGUGGCAGAUAUCUUUAAUCCCAGGAUUUGGGAGGCAGAGGCAAGGGGAUUUCUGUGAGUCUGAAGCCAGCCUGAUUUACAGAGUAAGUUCCAGGACAACCAGGGCUAUGUAGAGAGAUCCUGUCUCAAAAAAGAAGAAAAAAAAAAAAAAGAAAUAAAGUAGCAAAAAAAGAAUACAUAGCAGAUACAAUGAGUAUUUUUAAAAAUUAAAUAGCAAUGUUCAUAUAAGCCUCACACUCUAAUCUAAUAGACAUUCAACACUGUAGGCUUUGCUUUGAAUCUUAAGUUUGGGGUGUUUCCUUUCUUCUCUUUCCUUCUUUCUCUCUCUCUCUUUCUUUCUUUCUUUCUUUCAUCUUUCUGUCUUUCUUACUUUUUUCCUGUCUGUCUGUCUGUCUUUUCUUUCGUUCUUCUUUCUAAUAGGAUGUUACCAAUGGUGCUGAAGCUUCAGACCCCCACCCUGACAUCAGUGUCACCUCCCCGGAGAUUGUUCACUUUGACAACACUCAAUCUCACAAACAAAAGCUGGGUUUUGGGGUGUGGGGUUCAAGAGAACACUGAGACAGAUCUCUGGGGAAUAAGUUUACUAGAAAACUUAUUAACACCAUGGACAGACAGACACAGAGACAGCAUGGCAUGGUCUCUGGAGAGAGGAAUCAGACCACACAGGCAGAAGCAGGCUCUCGUUUUAAUGCCUUUCCUGAGGAUGGAGGAUUUUCACACAAAUGUGUAGCCAGGAUAAAGGGAGCAGGGAACAAGAUGUGUGGUACCAAUCCACAAACCCCUUCCAUUGAUGUUAGCUCAUUUCCCAAAUGAGAGAUCCUGGCCCAGGGUGUUGGCCAACUGGGGACUCAUAGACAAGGUCUCAGGAGGCUACCCAGGAGGGUAUCUAUGUCUGUGAGUGGAAGCUGCUGGAGAUAUUCUGUCCUAAGCAGAGGCCGGAUACUCAAGGCUUCUGGCCCUUGAGGGACUGGUCGCUCAGUUCAAAUAUCCCUCCUUUCCCAUCACACACCACUCCCUCUUAUCACUCCAUUCUUAAACGAGCGUCCUUAGAAUCAGGAAGCUGACAUUGCACUGUGUGGUUUUACACCACACACGAUUUGCUAGUGUUUUCAAAGCAUACCGCCAUUGUCGGAGAUUUGCCCCCUUGAGACUGAGACUUGGGUCUCGUGAGUCUGCCUCAAAGCUCUCCCUGGGGAAAUUUUUUUUUGUAUGCCUAAGAGUGGAUUUGCCUAAACUUCACUGAAGAGAGAAGAUAACAAAAGUGUUCACAGCCAUCACACCACCCAAACUUAGUGCCUUAACCCAUUGGUAAUAAAUGGUUGAGCUCCUGAAUUUUCAAUGUGGGCAGAGCACAACUCUGUCCCCAACAGCAUUAGCUGAAGGGGCUCAGAAGCUAGCCUCCCCACAAGUAUUCUGUAGUGACUAAGGACCCCUUUCCACCUAAGAUAAUUCUACACAGGCUACGUGUGUAACAAUAUAGGACAGGUAUAUAGAUCAAACAUUGACUGACAAUAAACCACAGAGAGGUUCAUUUUAAGACAAUUCUUUGAGAGAUACGUAUGUGCAGCCUUACCACAUAUUAAAUAGGAAAGCAAUUUCGCACACCACCGAGAUGAAUACGCUUGGCUAUUUUUAUAUAAAGAGUGAAAUCUUGCUAGUGCAGGAUGUAGAGUUCGUCAAAGCGUUUCAGAGUUGACUGAUGCUUUGAUUUUAGGAUUAUUGAUGCUGCGACCACUGCUUCACAUAAAUACAUAGUGCACACGACAUAAGGGUGUGUAGGGACAUUUCAGAGUAAAAAUGGCAUUUGGAAGUCCUGCGCUAUCCCAAACCAAGAUUCGCUUAAUGGUUUUUAAUGAACUCAUCAGCAAUUCGAAGUUCAAGUUUUAAAAUCGAGCACUGGACGGGCAGUGGUGGAACACAGUUUUAAUACCUGGAAGGCAGAGGCAGGCAGAUCUGAGUUUGAGGCCAGCCUGGUCUACAGAGAUAGUUCCAGGAUAGCCAGAGCUACACAGACAAACCCUAAAAAGAAAUAAAAAACAAAACCAAGCACUGUGACACAAGGGAACCUAAAGAUAUAGUAAUUUAAUACUUACCUCUUGAAGAAAAUGCCGGAACAUGUUAAGUGCCUUUGUUUUCUGUAAUUAGACCAGUGUGUUUCUAUAGAAGAAUGAAGCUAUUUCUGUACAGUAAGAACAACAACAAACGCUAAAGGACUGCAGCUCAUAUGACACAUCUGGAAUAUGAGGCCCGUGCUCCAGCUGCGUUCACUGGCACUGCACGGUGGGAGAGCAUGCAAGGUGUGGUGAGCACAACGCUCUCUCACACUGUGACUUCAGAACCAAGGCCGCAGUGAGCUCUCUCAGUGCCCCGCAGGUCCCGACCUCCCAGUAGUGCAUUGGGUGGGACCCAAGCCUUUAGCACACGGUCCUUUGGCAGACACCAACAGUAUAUAGCAAGGGAGAUGGCCACCUGUUUGGUAUGGCACCAUACCACAAUUGAUGUAGGUUCAUUGGAGGCAAACGCAACAAUAUCCUGGUGGCAGAAUUACCUACUACUGCAUCUGAUCAGGAAGACAGUACAUUCAAACCACUGAGUGGAGACUGGAGUUAGGCCAGCCAUAAACUAUCCUAAUGAAGACUAAUCGGGAACUACAAUUACUGUUGACUUCAGAAUGCAAACAUGAACUUUAGACAGCGAUCCCUAUCAGCCGGUGAGGCCGGGCACAGAUGCCGAUCACUGUUUUCUGCCGUUGCUUAGCAAUGGAAAAUGAACUGUUCCUGCCUCUUAUCACGGGGGGUGGAGAUAAAAGUUUGAAUUUUGCCCGGGAGGGACCCUCCAGAAUUAUCAUUAAAGAAAAUAUACGCAAAGAACAGAAGGGUCCCAUGCUGCCCUCUCCACAACAGAGUGUGGUGAUAUCCACUGGAAGGUCUUGUUGUCUCACAGAGGAACUUCCUCCUUCUGUAGGGAGGGUCUCCUUCUACAGUCCUUGUGCUGACCUCACCUGAACCUAUAGCGAGCUCAAAGUACUUCCACACCGAAGAUCCACCUUUGGGUUCCCCGUUUUGACCUGAAGCAUCCCAAGCUCUGCCUCGUGGUCAUGCUGCCUUCUCUCAGAUGGCUAGCAUGCUCCGAUGCCUCCCUCUAACAGCAGUAACCAUGACGUUUAGAGUUCUCCUUGAAGAUCUGCUUGGCAAUCUCCUCAUCUCCAAGAUGUCAUAUGAAGACGACACACUCAGCUUCCAGGGACUGGUGUUUGAUAUCCUGGUCAUCCUUCCAAACCAACUGAAGAGAAAGAGUGACGUAAGUGCAAACAUGCCCUUCACCCUCUCCCACAGGGCUUCCAUUAGAAGCUGCGGAUUGCCAGAGAGCCAGACAUGGAGGUUUGAAUGACUGUAACCCCAGUAAGUAGACAGGAGGGUGACAGGAAGCUGCCUUAGGACACGGAUGCUCAAUCCCAUGGAGGGUCGGCUGAAUAUGGUUUUGCUGACCCCCCCCUUGUACCCCACGACAGCAGCGAUAGGCAUCUACCUGUCUCCAACACCACUGCUACUGAGGGAGAAAAACAGGGUAUAAAGCCAUUACCCCACGGCAGCUCAUCUGUGAGCAUGCCUGCCGCCAGCUGCUCUUGGCUUGGCAGCACCCCUUCUGCUAAAGGUGGCUGGAAUUCCACUGCGUGCUCUCCCACACUUGGCUGUUAAUUGAAGCGCAAAGAUAACAUCAUCAAUCCAAAAGGGUCAUGAGUCCUUUUUGCCCUCUUGGCAAGUUAAUGUGGCCUAAUAUUUGUUUAAAGCCCACCUAUUCUUUUAAAAGACACUUUGUCCAGCGGAGUUUUGAUAAGUGCCUACCCCCCUCGCUCCUUUAAGCAAUAAAGUCAGAUUUUUUCCCCUUUUCUGUCCUGUGAGCAGCCAGCUUUUCUGAAGGAAGAUUGGCUUUAUAAAUGAGAAACAGAUCCUGCCCCAUAAAAGAUCUAAGACAUGGCUAUUGGGCCCAGACCUCUGCUGGGUGUGCUUUUAACUGCUAAGCCAUCUCUCCAGCCUAGUUUAAAAAAAUAAUUUCUGUCUAAAUCGUAUUUUUAUUAUUACAAAUAAGGGAGGGGAUCCAAAGGGAUCCACCACCACGCCCAACCCAAAACCCCUCCGCAAAUCUGAACAGAAGUGGUCAAAAUGACCCCAUUCCAAGACCCGUAGUCUGCAAAGAAAACCACACAUUUGAAGCAUUGAAGAGAUUUGUAAAGGUACAGACGCUGAACCCCAGCUCCGGAGAUCCUGAUUUAGCUGUUGUGAAGCAGAUCGGAGAGCAGUAUUUUUAAGAACACAUCCCCAGACAAUUCUAAUGGGCAGCUGGAGUUGGAAAGCACCAGACCAUUGAAAUAAAUUGCCACACAGCACAUCAUUCAUAAAUGUCUCUUAAAAACACAAUGCCGCCGAGUGAUCGGUACUUUAGAGCCACCGUGUCCCCACGCUGCCAGCCCAGUAGGUUCUCUCUAAUUUUUAUUGAAGUAUCACCGCCAGAAAGAGACACGUGCUCACUGCAUUCUCUGCAGCACUGCUGCUGAUAGCAAGAGAAUUUACAUUUUCAAUAUCUGUCAACGGGAGGGAUGGAGGCAUUGAACACGCUCCUGCAACGACCUGUCAUGCGGCAGCUAAAAUGAAUGAACUAGAUAUGCAACAGUCGAAGCCAGUGUCACCGGAUUCAGCGGUGAGCGAAAAGAAUCCAUUUCAGGGGGGGAAAAAAUUCUAGCGUGAUACUAUUUGUGCUGGAAGUGUUAAAAAAGGAAAGCUCUGAAUGGCUGGAGUGUGGUAGGAGGCAGACACCGAGGUGAAC